AAAAUUAAAAAAACAAAAAUGUUUUUUUAAUUUAUAACGACGGGCCAAAAUUAAAUAUAUUCCAAAUCCACGGCGGCCCAGCCCACUGUUUUAUAUCCACCGACCACUUUGCUUAGCUAGAGAGAGAGAGGGUGGAGAGAGAGAGGAAAAAUGAUACCUUUACCGGCGAGAGACGUGGUUCGCACGAAGCUGGUGCGGCUGCUCUACUUCGUCGGAGCCGGAGCUGUGUGCGCCGUCGGAAUCAACAAGUGGAAAGAAGCGGAAAGAAAUUCGAUGUUUCAGAAGCAAUUGAAUUCAAAAAAAUAAUUAUCUCUUUUUUUAGGGGUUGAUUAGAAAUAUUCGAAAUGAUCAAGUAGCUUUGAUUUAUUUACUUUUUAGCCCCUUAUAUUUCCGAUAUGUCCUAAUUGUUAGGGGGUAAAUUUAUAAUUUUGGAGCUUAUGAUACAUGAAGUUGAUUGCAGUUAAUGGGCAGUAUUUAAUUUAAAGAUUUCU